rnacentral:tRNA from 1 species
GAGCUGGUAGGCAACUACCGGUUCGGGCACAUACUGGUCUCGGGCACCAGUGAUCGUGGGUUCAAAUCCCACCCGCCCCACCA